rnacentral:rRNA from 1 species
GAUGAACGCUGGCGGCGUGCCUAAUACAUGCAAGUCGAGCGAACAGACGAGGAGCUUGCUCCUCUGACGUUAGCGGCGGACGGGUGAGUAACACGUGGAUAACCUACCUAUAAGACUGGGAUAACUUCGGGAAACCGGAGCUAAUACCGGAUAACAUGUUGAACCGCAUGGUUUAACAGUGAAAGACGGUCUUGCUGUCACUUAUAGAUGGAUCCGCGCCGCAUUAGCUAGUUGGUAAGGUAACGGCUUACCAAGGCAACGAUGCGUAGCCGACCUGAGAGGGUGAUCGGCCACACUGGAGCUGAAACACGGUCCAGACUCCUACGGGAGGCAGCAGUAGGGAAUCUUCCGCAAUGGGCGAAAGCCUGACGGAGCAACGCCGCGUGAGUGAAGAAGGUCUUCGGAUCGUAAAACUCUGUUAUUAGGGAAGAACAAAUGUGUAAGUAACUAUGCACGUCUUGACGGUACCUAAUCAGAAAGCCACGGCUAACUACGUG